CCUAAAUUAGUCAUCAACAUCACAAGAACAUAAGUACUUAUUUUAAUUCUGAAUACAGUAAGUGCUCAUUGUUGUUGUGUUGUUGAUGU
rnacentral:pre_miRNA from 1 species